rnacentral:rRNA from 1 species
UCCGUAGGUGAACCUGCGGAAGGAUCAUUAAUGAAUGAAUGUAGAGUUGGGUUGUAGCUGACCUUUCCCAGAGGUAUGUGCACGCCCUUCUCUUUCAUCCACACACCCCUGUGCACUUGUGAGACAGAGGCUGUUUUUAUUCCUUUAACCUAGGAAUAAGUCUCUGUCUAUCAUCACAUAAAAUCUAAUCUAAUUAAAUCUGAAUGUAAUUUGAUGUAACGCAUCUAAUACAAAGUUUCAACAACGGAUCUCUUGGCUCUCGCAUCGAUGAAGAACGCAGCGAAAUGCGAUAAGUAAUGUGAAUUGCAGAAUUCAGUGAAUCAUCGAAUCUUUGAACGCACCUUGCGCUCCUUGGUAUUCCUCGGAGCAUGCCUGUUUGAGUAUCAUGAAAUUCUCAAAGCAAGUCUUUUGUUGAUUCAAUCGGCUUUGCUUUGGACUUGGAGGUCUGCAGAUCCAAAACUCUGCUCCUCUUAAAUAUAUUAGCUGGAUCUCCAUGAACUUGGUUCCACUCGGCGUGAUAAGUUAUCACUCGCUGAGGACACCCGUAAAAAAGGUGGCCAGGCCCCUAGGAUGAGCCGCUUCUAAUAGUCCAUUAGCUUGGACAAAUUUAAAUUUCUGAUCUGAUCUCAAAUCAGGUAGGACUACCCGCUGAACUUAAGCAUAUCAAUAAGCGGAGGA